CCAAAUCUGUGUACACAGUUGAAGAGAAUGACCUCACCCUAUGAAGGAGGAUUGUUCUUCAGACAAAGGUAUAUAAGUAGAUGUGCUCCCCUUCUGGAACCUCAAAACAAGUCCUGAAAGUUCAUAAUGGGGUGGACCUCAUU
rnacentral:sRNA from 1 species